AUGGUGCUUCCAGUCUCAUGGGAAGUGAGAUGUGGCUCUGAAUUCAUCCCAAAGGGUGUCUUUGGGCAAAAGCACCAGAACGGCACAACUCCUGCAGGAUACCCUACACACUUCGCUGUCAGGACUCAGGGGGGCUUGAGUUUGAGUGAAGCUCUGAGUGAAGCUCUUCCUAGGGACAAUGUGGGCUUCAAUGUCAGGAAUGUGUCUGUCAAAGAUGUUCAUUGUGGCAAUGUGGCUGGUGACAGCAAAAAUGACCCACCAAUGGAAGCAGCUGGCUUCACUGCUCAGGUGAUUAUCCUGAACCACUCAGGCCAGAUCAGUGCUGGAUAUGCACCUGUGAUGGAUUGUCACACAGCUCCCAUUGCUUGCAAAUUUGCUGAGCUGAAGGAGAAGAUUGAUUACCGUUCUGGGAAAAAGCUGGCAGAUGGCCCCAAGUUUUUGAAAUCUGGUGAUGCUGCCAUCGUCGAUAUGGUUCCUGGCAAGCCCAUGUGUGUUGAGAGCUUCUCUGACUACCCUCCUCUGGGCUGUUUCACUGUUUGUGACAUGAGACAGACAGUUGCUGUGGGUGUCAUCAGAGCAGUGGACAAGAAGGCAGCUGGAGCUGACAAAGUCACUAAGUCUGCCCAGGAAGCUCAGAAGGCUAAAUGCAUAUUAUUCCCAACACCUGCCACCCCAGUCUCAAUCAGUGGUGGAAGAACGGUCUCAGAACUGUUUGUCUCAAUUGGCCAUUUAAGUUUAAUAGUAAAAGACUGGUUAAUGAUUACAAUGCAUCAUGGUUAUAAAGAAGAUGACAUUCACAUUAUGGCUGAUUCUAAUGAUUCACCUCUAGCAGAAAGGGAACCAGGAGAAAUUGUGGACAGCCUGGGAGGCAAACAAGUGGAAUAUGUCAAAGAGGAUGACUCUAGAAGGACUGGCAUGGUCAUUCAUCAAGAGGAAGCCAAACAGUCUAUUUCAUCAAGUUUAAUGAUGAUUUCCAUAUUUAUCUCUAUGAUUUGGUGA